ACAUACAUAUAGUUGAGACCAACGAUGGAUCAACUAGAGGUCGCCCCAUAUGGUGAACAAUUUAUUGGAGAUAGACAUUAACAUAACUUGGCCAUAGCUUGAAGCAUAGCAACAUAUGCCUAUGAAUGGCAUUCAUGCUAUCGUUUUAGGCUUGUCCUUCUUCCAUCUUAGCAAGCACUCCCAUUUCUUCCAUCUUAGCAGCAACUGUCAAAUUGAGAUAUGGAAAUCCCAUUAGCACAUGAGUUAAUUUUGCAGUGGAAAUAGAGUACAAGAUGUCUUCAUGAUAUAAGUAAUAUGCCUGAAGUUGUGAGAUGGGACGUGAAGUCAACAAAUUACAUUAACGGAAAUGCAUGGAAGGCCACACAAACGUAUUAGUCCACGACAUGCUACAAUGCUUGUAUGUACAUAUAACAAAUUAAAUGCAUUGAAUACAGUGAGUUUAGUGAGUUUACCAGAAUCGGUCAGAAUACAUGGGAAACAACAAGUGUUGUUGUUCUUGCAGACUGUGUCGGAGGCACCCACAGCAAUACAAGCAAAACAACAUGCUUUUGCCCGGGCGGAUACGCAGCAGCCGCACUGUGCCGCGGUGGCCGAGUUAACAUUGAGGCUCAAGAUGACCAGGCACAUGAUCACCAUCAAAGCGGUAGUCCUCUUUCCCUCCAUUGCCUCCUCACAAUCUUAAAGCGGCAGUGAGUCACGUUGGUGUAACAAGCAGUACAUCAGCUGGAAGAUUGAUAUGUCUAUAGAUGCUUCUUCUUAUCUUUCCACAUACUGCACAAUGUCAAAGUAAAAUGAGAAAGGAUAACAAGCGGAUACAGAGUGAUUGGAUUUACUUGAGAAGCUUGAAGAAACAUCCAGCAACAACAGAAAAGUCAAAGUAUCAAGCGCAUGGAGCUAUAAAGCAGAUUGUAUCGGCUAGAAGAUUCAGGACGUUGAACUUAAUUAAGUUCGAAGCAUGGCCAUUGCGAUAACUUUGCACGGGCAUCACGGAGAUGCCAACAUACAGGAAAGCAGAACAAUCAACAAGUGCCUCUGCUGAUCGGUCAGGUCUCAGAGUUUGAGAAACUGGAUCUGACGGAUGUGAAAUUAAUCUAUGUGGCUUCAUGCAAAUUUGUUCACAGGUUUGAACAGCAUGUAAUCUUUUUCAGGCAUAUAUAAUGGAGCGUGGGUGUGUUAUGUUAUCUUCUACUACAAAUAUAACAUCAAAUUCAUUCGAUCAGUUUGGCCGAGAGCCCAAAAUACAACGGAUAUGCCAUCCAACGGGGGAGAAAAAAAGAUGAGGAACAGUAUACUCUAUCUUCGAAAUGAGUUAUAAAGAUUCAGCUUAAAAAGAAAUAACGAGGCGUCCAAGACUCGAGGAGCCAGUCAAGAGCAGACAAGAGGCACAUAAGUGAAUGCAUCCACACCUUGGGAUGCUGCAAACUUUUAUGGGGCUAUAUAUAGCCAAGUAAACUAUUUUAUCCUGCUGCAAGCUGCAUACAUAAGUUUAUUUAACCUUUGUUCACAAUACUCUUCAUACACCAUUCACACACGUCUCAGGGAGCUGCAGCAAUGGCGGAGAUCUUAGCUGGAGUGCUCACUUCCGCUGUCGUCGCUAUUGCCAAAGACACAACCUAGCUCACCUCUGCUAUUGCGGAGCAGGCCAAUUUGCUGUGGAACUUCGGCGACGACCUGAAGGACAUGAACUCGGUGCUGGAGUCCAUCUCAGCAGCGCUCCAGGACGCUGACACUGGUAGUCUGCCAAGCUUAAGAAGAAGUGAAAAAGUAAGCAGGCCCGAGAUCGAGCGCCAGGGUCAAAGCCUUGAUGACCGGAGGGGUCGGCCAUGGAAUUCCAACCUCCAUGACUGGCGCAAGGAAAAAAUAACCUUCCAUCCUCAACAAAAAUCCCAUUAGCUUUUUUACCUGGAACUAAAGAGGUUUUAGCCCCGUGCAUAUACCUUUAGUCCGGGUUGCUGUUACCAACCAGGAGUAAAAGGGUCCGACGGCACCAAUCGGGACUAAAGCGUCCCCCACGAGUUACUAUAUAAAAGGAUUGCAUCCUCUACUCAGUCAGAUGUACUGUGUAGGUGAGAUGGUAAGGAAGCUAUGCGUGAGGCUUGAGGUUGUGGGUUCGAAUCCCACGCACCGCGCGCGCACGCACAUAUUUUGCGUGAAAAUCGCGUGACGUGAUCGGCCAAGGAGAAGUGGGUGCUGCUGUGGCUUAAGCGGCUGAGGCACGCCACCAUAGACAUCUCGGAUUUGCUCGAAGACUACCAAGACACUAGCGAACCCUUAACGGCAAAGUUGAGUACUUAUGCAUGUCAGCAUCUAUGUUGUCCAUGCUUCCAAUGCAAUAACAAGAAGGACUACUCUUCCUAGCAGAUUCUUCACAACCACUCGUAAAGCUAUGCGUUUCUCAAUGCAAUUUCGUAGAAGGCAAUCGAUCCAACCAAGCGACUAAAUCAUUCAUCCUUGCUAAUGAUGUGCAUCAGGUUUUCUAUAUGAAGGACAUGUCUAGCAAAUCCAAGAUUUUAGAAGAAAAAGAAAAAUCAUGAGAGUCAAAGCGCCACAUAGUUCUUCCAGGUAAAAAAACAAUCAUCCACUGGGAUAGAUCCAAAACGUCCAUAUUUAGACUUUUUGAUAGCAGAAAAAACAUGAAAUGUCUAAUAUUUGUAGUAUUAAAAGGAAAAAUAAUAUAUUCACUUGACUUUUUUUUUUCCGUAGCAACGCAUAGUCAGACUUAAUGCACGAUGCCUGUGCAUCCACUGGGCCUGCCCUUGUGGAUCACGCGCACCAGGACACAGCUCAUUAGCUAGUCGUGCUAAUCCUUACCACCAAAUAAAAAACUAGCAUGUGUUGUGUGUUUGUGACCCUAAACGAUCACAAAUGAAUAACGUUUGGGCUUUGCUAGCGCCUGGAUGCCGGGUCCGGGAUGCUAGCAUCGGACGCACGAGCAGCCAUCCGAUCGGGUCCGACACCACUUCAGGAUCUGGCUUAAAAGGAAGUCCCACCGAAACAUUGUUCCAUGUUGCAUGAAACAUCCCACUAUCCAUCCCCAGGUCUAGAGCAAGCACCACCUUCAAAUCUGCCGCUCACCCAAGCUAAAUAGGGGCAUUAAAAUUGCAGAAAUAUGUCGCAUACCCUUCUCAAAUUAAACUAAAUGGCAACAUCCAAAAAUUUCUUAUACAAAACCAUGAAACAUAUCGAUUAGAUAGGUGUAACAAGAUGGAAUAUGGUAUGCAACAUAUAGAUUCGGAAAAACAGAUGAAACAUUAUGUAAUGAUUGUUGAAACAGUCGAGAAAAAUUAAGAAAAGAAGCUUUAUGCAAAUUGCAAAAAGCUGAAAUAAGUGGUUGAACACUUCAAAUCACCAAAUGCCACAUUUGAAAUGACUAGAUGAAACAUCACAAAAUUAAUUGUAACAGUUGAAGAUGAAACAUUCAAAUGCCUUACCUUUCUCCAGAUUUGACCCUCCAAGCAUGAGUCCAGCCAUUUGCACAUUAGACCCUUGGGAGGAGCUCACCGGAGAACAACAAGACCGUGUUCUCCAACAAUUUUCCAAUCAAAUUGCAACAUAAAAAACAAAGCAUUGCAACAUCUGGCGAGCUACAACAUCAACCAGUUAGGAUCAGGAGAAUGAGGGCAAACACAAGGCUAAUAAUGAGUUAUAUCCUGUUUAAACGAGGAUAAAAAUGAGUGUAUUUUCCACUCAUCAUGUUGUCUUUUCGCAGCUGUACCGCCUUUAGUGUGUUGUAUUGUUCCCCUAACACCAAGUCUCCAAGGCCCGACAAAAUAAGGAAGGUGAUAGCAUCCCAGAAAUCGACCAAGUUUCUUUCGCCCUUUGGCUUUCCUACUAGGAUUCGGAAUCCUCUUUCGCAUGACAAUUUUAAUUAUCUCCCAUAGUCCAAAACUCACAAAAAUAUCAAAAAUCGGCCGAGAAUAAAUUAAGUAAAAAACAUGCACACACAGAUAAUAAUAAUAAUAAUCAUGUUUCAAUAAAAUUGCUAAGACUAGAGACAAUACAUAAACAUAUUAGACUGUUCAUGACACGUAUCACGGUGGACUGUCUGUGUCCUUAUUACAAGCAGCGAGAGGAAUUAACUAUGCUUGUCACCACACACACGUGUGCACAGAUGCACGACAUACAUAUAGUUGAGACCAACAGAUGGAUCAACUAGAGGUCGCCCCAUAUGGUGAAAAAUUUAUUGGAGAUAAACAUCAAUAUAACUUGGCCAUAGCUUGAAGCAUAGCAACAUAUGCCUAUGAAUGGUAUUCAUGCUAUCGUUUUAGGGUUGUCCUUCUUCCAUCCUAGCAGCAACUGUCAAAUUGAGAUAUGGAAAUCCCAUUAGCGCAUGAGUUAAUUUUGCAAUGGAAAUAGAGUACAAGAUGUCUUCAUGAUGUAAGUAAUAUGCCUGAAGUUGUGAGAUGGGAAGUGAGGUCAACAAAUUACUUUAACGGAAAUGCAUGGAAGGCCACACAUACGUAUUGGUCCACGAUAUGCUACAAAGCUUGUAUGUACAUAUAACAAAUUAAAUGCAUUGAAUAGAGUGAGAUUAGUGAACUUACCAGGAUCGAACGGACCACAACCUCGGCCACAGCAGGUGAUCUCGCAGACUGCGUCGAAGACACCCACAGCAGUACAAGCAGAACAACAUUUUUUUGCCUGUUGGGAUUCGCAGCAGCCGCACUGUGCCGCGGUGGCCGGGUUAACAUUGAGGCUCAAGAUGACCAGGCACAUGAUCACCAUCAAAGCAGUAGUACCCUUUCCCUCCAUUGCCUCCUCUUGCUGCUACCUUCCUUGGUUACCUAGCUAAGUUUAUUGGUUUUGUGUUGAGAGGUGAUUCUUGAAUGGACGUUGCCGGCUGCAAUUUAUAGGCAGCUGCGCUAUGUGAUGAUAUGGACAAGGUGCAAAUGGAUGCUUGACAUUCGCAUCAAACAAAGCCCAAUGGCAACUGCUGACACGCAAUUAAUUUCAGAUCCACAUCCAGCCAUUGACUUGUAAUUAAACUAAGCCCACGCGGUCCGCGAGAUGCAGCGUCCGUAGCACAAUAGGCAAAAUUAGAAUUCAGAGAUAGUAGUGUGGGACAUUUAAUUCCUGCGCAAGCGCAGACGACGGUGCCAGCAGCUGCUACCAUGAAACACGGUUACAUAAUUUGAAAAUAAUACAUAAUUAAAAACUAAUACAUAAUUUGACACGGUGUACCUCGAGAACGUUUUGAAAAUGUACUCUCGUUAGGCGUUCACCUCCUUAACAAUAACUGCGACUGUAAAAUAGGUACAUCGACGCUAGCUAAAUAAACCACUAUAAGAUUUAGCAAGAGAUCAUUUUAUACAAUUCUGUAACGAAAGAAUUUGACAAUUAUAGUGUCCAUAUAUUUUGACAAAAACGUCUAAAUUAUAUAAGGAGGUGGGCCCGAAACAGUUGGAUUAGCAUAUGGUUACCCGUUUGUUGUCUUCCGGCCCUAAAAAAGGGACCAUCUUACUGAAAAAGGUUCUAUUAGGCCAUGCAGCCGCUCUGUGGUACCAAAAAGAAAUUUUUGACACGGUUUUACAUCGAGAACAUUUUGAAACUAGACUUUGGUACGCAGUUCACCUGCUUAACAAUAACGGCGUACAUAGACGCUAUCUAAAUUAACCACUUUAAGAUUUAGCGAGAGAUCUAUUUUUUUAAUCCCGUAUAAUCGCGUAGCGACUGUAAGAAGGACUGAAAAAUAAGUUUGAUUACCAUAACUCGUUAAUGGAAUAAACGAUAGAGAUUUCAGCGAGGCAGACUAGCCUUUCACACAGCAGCUCUGCACGCACCAACUGAGCUAGUUGGCAUGAUGUAUUUGCUCUUACUCCCUUGGUCCCAUGUAAUUAUCAGUUAUACUUAUGGGAUACUUAGAUGACUUGAUGUAUGAAUCAAGAAAAUGCAUCUCAAUAAUUUAGAGACCAUGCGCACAUGCAUGGGACAAUAAUAUAGUGUGGAAGGUGUGCGUGAGGAUCGUUAUCUAUAUCGUGUGUUAGAAAAAGAUUGCAUAUAUAGUGCCAUCAUUCAAUAUAAUUAAUUGCGUGCAUGUCAUCGUUACAAGAUUUCUAACAUUUCCCAACACUUCUCUUACAAAUGCCCAGUGGGUUUUAGCAAAAUUUGGAUAACUAGUAGCUACAUGACUGUGGGAAAUGAUCAUAUUCGGAGUUAUAUUGUUACUGAUUUGAUAAACUGUUAAAAAAAUGCAAAUUGUAUGAGAAAAAUUGUCAGGCAUUAUUUGAGAAGUUAGCUUAUAGCACGUACACUUUGCAAGAUGACAGUAUACUUAGAAGGAUGACGGUAUGGAUCUGUGGCAUGGGGAAGGUAGCUAGGUGGAGAAAUAGAGAUAUCACGAGGCAGCGGUGGUACUACGUGGAGAGUGUAGUUAAUGUUUGUCUUUCUUCGGAUAGCACGUUAGCUGACCAUUGACAACGUGUGAUGAUUUUACUAACAUCAAAAUUAGGCAUGCCCCCUUUUUUUAAUUGGUGCUCAUAGAGGCAUGAGUGGGAGGUUUUGGUGGGUGAGCGUUGGUGUGCAACUCGUGUGCGUGAGCAUGUGUGCAUAAGAUAAUGUGUUUUGUUAGAAAAAGAAGAUAAUGCCUGCAAACAAUCCAGAAUAGAAGGCGGGCCCCGACGACAAGAUAAUGCCUUACGUGGCGAUGUCUCAACUUGUCACCUGGGGCGGCUUUUGCAGUUUCCCCAUACACACACUAAGAGCCUCCGACCCUUUUUCAUCAAACCUUCCCAUGUAGUCAUGCAUAUAUCCAUGAUGAUUUGAGUCUACUGAUUGAUACCUAGAUGUUUUGCUUGUUUGUGAGAAUUUUUAGUUUCUUUCUUUUUAGAGUGUCCACCUAAGAUCCUAGGUGGCUUCACCUGAAAGCUUCGAAAGAAGCGUCCAAAUUUAAUCAUAAGAUUUUCUCAAAAGAGACUUAAUUCUACCACUAUAACUUGAUUGGCUGCCCCAGCCUCACUACCGGAAACAGGAAAUAUGCCGAGUGUUUUUCCUUUGCCGAGUGCAUUCCAUCGGGCACUCGGCAAAGGAGGCAUUUGCCGAGUGUCUCCAUGGAAACACUCAGCAUAUACAUUACACUCGGCAUAAAACCUAGUUGCCGAGUGUCAGAGAUAGAACACUCGGCAACAAUAAACACGACACUUGGCAAAGACCUGACACUCGGCAACUAUCCAACACGUGACUGGCACGUGCGACGUCCGUCAGAUGACGUGCUGGCCAUUAGAACUUUGCCGAGUGUCAUUAACGGACACUCGGCAAAGCUAAGGUUUGCCGAGUGUUUUCGUGAAGCACUCGGCAAAGUUUAGGUUUGCUGAGUGUCGGGGAUACAUCCCCAGUACCCGCAAGGAAGGAAGAAGUCAGACUCCUACUAGGAAUUCCCUGUAAUCCGACUAGGACUAGUCCCGUGUACUCCUACUAGGACUCCUCCUUGUAAUCCGACUAGUACUCUGCCCCCUGGAGUAUAUAAAGGAGGGCAGGGGUACCUAGCUCGGCAGGUCAUACCUCAACACCCAAGCUCAGGACACACGAGAACAACUCCAGUUCAUCAAAUACAAACCAACAUACAGGACGUAGGGUAUUACGCGAUCUAGCGGCCCGAACCUGUCUAAAUCGUGUUCCUUGCGUCACCAUUGAUUCCUUGAUUCUCGACGACCCUUACCGCACAAAAGACCACCUAGGGUACCCCCUAGGCAGGUUGCCGGUCUAAAACACCGACACUGAGUGUUUUUUGGAGGCACUCGGCAAAGUUAAAACUCUUUUUCUCUUUUGCCCUCCAAACUUUUUCUACUCCCCACAUACAACAUGUGGUACUACAUGUUAAAAGUUGGUAUAUUUCCCGGUCCGUUUCCUAUAUUUAAUUAAUUAAUUUCAUUUAGAGGAAUUUUUUUGUUUAAGUCAAAUUUGAACCCCACAUGAUUCAAAUAAUGGAAUAAAAUGAGUGGAAAAAUAAUAUUCAUGUUAUUGAGUCCGGAUUGAAGCCUUAUCCAAGAAAUGAAAAGGAAUUUCGAACAUCUUGUUCAGUAAACAUGACCACGAAUGUGUGGCCGAAUGGUUUUUAAAUUCUAACAAACAAACAAACUCUGAAAAUCACGAGAUUUGCCAAGAUCUCAUGAUAUCAUAUGUGGAGGCUGUGGUAAAAAGUUGAGAAGGUUGUGCACAAUUUAUCACGUACGAUGCUUACAAACCGAAGCAUCUCCGAAGAAGAAUCAACGAGUUGAGAAGGAUCUUUUAAGAUUUGGAGUCAAAGUGAUGGUCGAAUUAGGGUUUGACUUCAAACCUUUUUGUAUAGGCAAUAGACAACAUAGAUUGGUUCAUGUCAAAUUUUGGGAAUUUUUCGGAUUCGUUUGAUAAUUUUUAUUUAUUAACUGCAAUUAUAGAAUUUUAAUUGAUAUAAGUUCAAUUUGAGCUAUAACUCCAUGAAAUAAUGGAAUAAUAUUUGUAGAAAAAUCAAAUAUGUAUUGUUGAGUGAAUUUGACAAGAUUUUUGCAAAGUACAUCGGAAAAAAUUUGGUAAAGCACGUUAUGGAAGUUAUACAUACAUGAAAUAUGAAUCCACUUUGCCGAGUGUUUUCGUGAAGCACUCGGCAAAGUUUAGGUUUGCCGAGUGUUUACUAAGCAACACUCGGCAAACUACGUCUAGAGGCCCACUGUUAGACGAGUGUACCAUUUCAAAAUUGUAAAAAUAAAAAUAAAAAAAGAGAGUUUGCCGAGUGCCCGCGAUCUGGCACUCGGCAUACCUUUACUUUGCCGAGUGCCAGAUCGCGGGUACUCGGAAAACCUCCUGACUUAACCACCCGGUCUGCCGCACUCGAACCUCACGCGCACACACCGAAACACUUACCGCUGCACCCCUGUGCACCCGCCGCCGCCACCGUCGGACACCCCCGUCGCCCUAGCGCCCCGCCCCUAGCGCAGCCGCCGCCCCCGGCACCCCACCUGCCGCCCCCGAUGCCCCACGGCCGGUGCCUCGCCCGACAGCCCGCCCCCGGCGUGGCCGUCGCCGCCGGACGCCCCCUCGCCCCUCCCGGUAAUCCUCCAAUCUAUGUUGUUCAAGUUAGAAAAUAGAAAUUAGAAAUUAGACAAGAAAUUAGAAAUUAGAAAAGGAGAAAAAUUAGAAGUGGUAGGAUAGAGAGGUGGUAGGGCUUUUUUUUAGAAAUUAGAAAAUGAUGAAUGAUUUAUGGUGAUAUCAAAUUUCACUAAUUUGAAUGUUGUUGAAGUUUAACCAUGAACUAUUUGCUUUCUUGUCAAAUUUUUGAAUCCAUGUCAAUAUCCAUAUUUCACUACUUGGAAUCAACAAGUUUAAAUCCAUAACCUAUCAUUCUUCUGAAGAAAAUAUGGUUGUUUUGCAAGGUCCUCCCUACCCCAUCUUGCCGCCAUCAUCCGCCAUCCCCUCCCGCCGUCCCACACCUUCGAGUUGCCGGCCGUCGUUUUGCAAGGUAUAAGAGCUAUAUGUGGUUGUCGGCCAUCGUGCCAUUCCGUUGGUGUGGAUGUGGUUAUCGACCAUCGUGCCAUUUUAUUUGAUGCAGGUUUUGGAAACCUCCCCGUGCAGGGGAGGUGCUGCCAAAAUUUCGACUUGACACUACAAUGUUCCUUUUCUUGCAGGAGAGGCUACGUUACCGUCCUCGACUCGUCACUUUGCAGGAUAGCAAGGUGAGGCAUCCUACACCUCUCUUUCCGUAUGAUGUUUGUAUAUCACAUAACCUAUCUAGGGGUCUCCCAUUCGAAAGAGAUACGGUUGGAAAUAUGCAGAUCUUUGCAUAUCUAUAAUCGUAUCUGUUUUGAAUUGUCCACAUUUUUUGGACAGCCCAAGGAUGUGUAGGUGCGGUUAGUUUCCAUGCUCUACUCCGAUCCGUGAUAGAAUUUCUACAGCACCUCCCUGUUGUUCUCCGGAUACACAAUCUCCAAGCCUGGACGUGUAUUUAGAGAACAGUGGGGAGGUGCUGCCGAAAUUCUAUCUCGGAUCGGAGUAGAGCAUGGAAACUAACUGCACGUACACAUCCUCAGGUGGGAUUAGGACCUAUCUUCACCUAUUAGAUAGUAUAGGAACAUGUAGAUGCAAUGUGAUUUUUUAUAUUACUCGCUGAUAUGCUAGAGGAUGGAUGACCGUGAGUGGAUGCACACGGGCCACUCUAGUCAGGCUUCAUUGACCGAUGAAUGGAUUGACAACACCGAUGCAUUCUUGGAAUGGGCGUUUGCUAGGGUCAAAGGAGCUAGUGUCACUUGGUGUCCGUGCAGCAGAUGUGGAAACAUGCAUCAGCAAACCAAGUUGGUCAUGGGUAAACAUCUUGUUAAGAAUAGAUUUAUGGCAGACUAUACCAGGUGGAUCUACCAUGGUGAAACCGAUCGUGGGAGAGAAGAGGUCUUGAGACAAUGCAUCAAGGAAUAUGAUGAUGAUGCCGGGGUGGGAGACAUGUUAAAUGACUAUCAUGAAACACGUAGGGAGGAGGAGCCAGAGACUACCGCAAAGGCGUAUUACGACAUGUUGUUUGCGGCACAACAACUCCUUCACGGGCAUACCAAGGUUUCUCAAUUGGAUGCCAUUGCAUGCCUAAUGGCUGUGAAGUCCCAGUUUAGCUUGAGUCGAGACGCCUUCGAUGUUAUGCUGACAGUUUUUGGCAGCCUGCUCCCGGAGGGUCACAUCUUGUCAAAGAGCAUGUAUGAGACACAGAAACUCCUUCGUGCACUUAAGAUGCCAUACAAGCAGAUACAUGCUUGCCCGAAGGGAUGCAUCUUAUUUAGGAAAGAGUAUGUGGAAGCAAAGUACUGUGUGAAGUGCAAAUCAUCUAGGUUCCUGAAGGUAGACUCUGGUGAUGGUCAGAAGAAGCAGCUCGCAAUCCCUGUGAAGAAUCCGCGAAACAGAUGACCUGGCACAAAAACGGACGUCGAUACAAUCCUGAGAAGCUGGUACACCCAUCCAAUGGUGAAGCCUGGAUAAGGUUUGAUGCGAUUUAUCGUGAGAAAGCUCUAGAGGCCUGUAAUGUACGUGUUGCGCUAGCAACAGAUGGGUUCAAUCCUUAUGGAAUGGCGGCUGCCUCGUACACCUGUUGGCCCAUGUUCAUUAUCCCCCUCAAUCUCCCCCCUGGCAUCCUCUUUCAAUGACAGAACAUAUUUUUGUCGUUUAUAAUUCCAGAACACCCAUGGAAUAAUAUGAGUGUGUACAUGGAGCCUCUGAUUGAUGAUUUGGUCCGUGCUUGGGAGGAAGGGGUAUGGACAUACGACCGAGCUACAAAGACAAACUUCAAGAUGCAUGUUUGGUACCAGUACUCCCUGCAUGACUUGCCGGCAUAUGGGAUUUUCUGCGGCUGGUGUGUGCACGGGUAGUUCCCAUGCCCAGUAUGCAAGGCUUCUUUGAAGUUCAUUUGGUUGACGAAGGGUGGAAAGUAUUCUUCAUUCGACAAACAUCGAAAACUCCUCCCUCCUAACCAUCCAUUCAGACGAGACAUCAAGAACUUUACGAAAGAUGUUGUAGUUAAAGACCCCGCACCGUAGAUGAUGACAGGGGCCGCAGUUCAUGCUCAAUUAGAUGCUCUCGAGGUCAAUAAUGAAGAAGGUGGUUUUGUGGAAUAAUGCGAGCAACAUGCCUGGACUCAGAAGUCGUGCUUGUGAAUCCUCCCCUAUUUUGAUAACCUUCUUCUUCCACAUAAUAUUGAUGUAAUGUACACCGAAAAGAAUAUCGCCGAGGCAAUUUUUGGUACAAUCAUGGACAUUCCUGAUAAGACAAAGCAUAACGUUAAGGCUAGAGUGGAUCAAGCGAGGUUAUGCAACAGGCCAAAGCUAGACAUGGCGCCUCCAAGAGCUGGCAAGUCGUGGAGAAAGCCUAUAGCCGAUUUUGUUCUGACGAGGGCCCAAAGGAGGGAGGUACUAGAAUGGUUCCAAACGUUAAUGUUCCCUGGUGGGCAUGCAGCGAAUCUGAAGAGGGGAGUGAAUUUAGCUACUAGGCAGAUCAACAGGCUCAAGAGUCAUCAUUACCAUAUAUGGCUUGAGCGCCUACUUCCAGUGAUGGUUCGAGGCUAUGUCCCUGAGCAUGUCUGGCAGGUGUUAGCGGAGUUGAGCAAUUUCUUCUGCCAGUUUUGUGCCAAGGAGUUAUCUCGUACCAUGGUUGCAGAAAUGGAAAGAAUGGCGUCUGUGUUGCUCUGUAAGUUGGAGAAAAUCUUUCCACCCGGCUUCUUCAAUCUGAUGCAGCAUAUGAUUCUGCACCUCCCAUAUGAAGCACAAAUGGGGGGGCCUAUGCAGGGUUGUUGGUGGUAUUCAAUUGAGAGAUGUCAAAAGGUUCUUCGAACUAAAUGUAAAAAUAAAUGCAAAAUUGAAGCAUCCAUUGCAGAGGCAUACAUUCCGGAGGAGGUGUUAAACUUCACAAUAAAAUACUAUGCUGACAACCUUCCUAGUGUGCAUAAUCCACCCUCUUGUUACAAUGCCGGCGAAGAUGAAUCAAGCCUUAGCAUUUUCUAAGGGCAACUCAGAAGUGCAAGUGGUGCGACCCACAAGACCUUGAAACAUGAAGAGUGGCGCAUUAUCAUGCUGUAUGUAUUGACCAACCUAUCCAAAGUGGAGCAUUACAUGUUGUAAGUUCUGAACAAUCUUUUUCUUAAGUAGUCGCUAUUCUGUGUCCAACUCCCAUGUUUCUCGUUGGUACAGGAAAUUUCAUCGUCAAUUCUGGCGUAAAUCAAGGGAACCUACCCCGUAUGAAGCUGAGACCAUUCUUAUAGAGGGUGCGGGAAAUGGAAUGCCCAAUUUCAUUUCUUGGUUCAAACAGAAGGUAAAAUCCAAAUUAGCUUGUACUUAGUUUGAUAUUACAAGUUGCUCGUACAUGCGAAUAAUAUAACAAACCACCCUGCUUGAACUUGCAGGGCCAAACCGAUGCUUCUAUGAGUGUCGAGUUGAGAUAGGUUGUCGAUGGCUAUGCCUAUAGGGUCAGGUCGUUUACCGGUUAUGACGUGAAUGGAUAUCGCUUUCACACAAGAAGCCACGAGCAGAGUCGGCUCAAUCGAAGAACCACAAAUACUGGAGUUUUUACGCCAGGCCUUGAUGGGGUCGAGUACUACGGAAGAGGCUUCUUAUUAUCAUUCCACAUACUGCACAAUGUUAAAGAAAAAUGAGAAAGCAUAACAAGCCGAUACAGAGUGAUUGGAUUUACUUGAGGAGAAGCUUGAAGAAACAUCCAGCAACAACAGAAAAGUCAAAGUAUUGAGCCCAUGGAGCUAUAAAGCAGAUUGUAUCGGCUGAACAAAGAUUCAGGACAUUGGACUUACAAAAGUUCAAAGCAUGACAUUCAUACUCCGAACUCGGGGGCCUUUGUUUUAGCCGGUGAAAUCCCUCGUUUCGCAUUGUUCAUCAAGUCCACGUGCCCAUGCAGCAUAGCAUUUUAUUAUGAUACGUUGAGUUAUGUCACAUUGUUACUUUAAGUUAUUUUUAAGUAUUAGUUGUAGACAAUUUAGUUGAAAAUUUAAGUGGUUAUUUUAAAUUAUUUUUAUAAUAUGAUAAGUGGGUAAUUUAGAUGAAGAUUAGGGGGUUACUUUAGCUUAUUUUAUAUAAUGGCUGAGGUGGGUAAUUCAGAUAUAGAUUUAGGGGUUACUUUAGACUAUUUUUUUUAGAAAAUAUAAUAGAUCCAAUGGCUACGAUGAUUUGAGUCUAUUGAUUGAUGUCUAGAUGUUUUGCUUGUUUGUGAGAAUUUUAAAUUUUUUUUCUAGAGUGCUCACCUAGUAGCCACUGCUAGUGCACGUGCAACACGAGUGCCGGCCCAUCUGGCACUAAGACCUCGUAAAGCUAUGCGUUUGUCAAUGCAGUUUCUUAGAAGGCAAUAGAUCCAACCAAGCGACUAAAUCAUUUGUCCUUACCAAUGAUGUGCAUUAUGUUUUUUAUAUGAAGGACAUGUCUAGCAAACCUAAGAUUUCAGAAGAAAAAGAAAAAUCAUAGGAGCCAAAGCGCCACAUAGUUCUUCCACGUAAAAAUAAAUCAUCCACUGGGCCAUCACAUAGUAGCGAUCCAAAACGUCCAUAUUAAGACUUUUUGAUAGCAGAAAAAAUAUGAAAUGUCUAAUAUUUGUAGUAUUAAAAGGAAAAAUAAUAUAUUCGCUUGACACCGGUGCGUAGUCAGACUUAAUGCAUGAUGCCUGAGCAUCCACUGGGCCUAUGAUGUGCAGCAGUGGCUCAGAUGGCUGACCAGAAAAGUACACUUAAUUUCAAUGGUACCGACAAGACAAACCACCGUUGCUACUACUUUGUACUACUUGAUACAUAUCUCCACCAAAAGCGAGGCACCCCUUUCCUCUCACGCUCCCUGAAUCAUGAGUUUAUCUCUAAUAGGUCAAACAAACCUUGAUGAUCACUUGUUAAAAUGUCAUCAGUAUCGGUUAUCAUACCAACAUAAUCAAGCCGGCGCGUAUAAUAAGCACCAGAGCCGGCAUUUGUACAAACUGGUAUGGAUAGUAAAAACUCAAAUUUAUAAAUAAAUGAAGAUAUUCAAAGCCCUCGCUCUCUUUUUUCAUUAAUUUUGCGGAAUUCCCAGAUUUGCAUGAAAAAGGGAUGAACCAUUAUUGGACGAACUGGCACACUUGUUUCUACCCGCUCUCCGGACAGCCCACAACCGCCCCCCGGUGUGAGUGUCCAAGUCUUGGAUCGUUGCCCGCGUUAAGCUGUGCCACCGCACUGCACCACAGCGACAAAAGCCACACCACCGGCAGCAUGUGCCAGUGGGGAGCGCUUAUGCUGGCCAUAGUGUCCCCGUAGGACCGCCGCGCGAGCCUGUGAGCCACCGACCGCCGUGCCCCCAAGGGCCAUCACCGCGCCACCCGAGGAUGCUCUCUACCCAGUGCUACGCGCCUCUGCCGGCUGCCUGCACCUGGGCCGCCACCGGUCGCCUGCACAGCCACGUGUUGCAGCCGCCCCCCUGCGCCGAGCCACCCCAUUUCGCGUCGGAAGAACCACCUGAGUCUCGCACAUCGAGGUCUUGCCGGUGAUGACCAUGGCCUCCAGGAUCAAGUGCUACACAGUAUUAGGCCUUGUCAAGUUUUCUAUUCAUUCGAGAUCAAAUGAAAAAGUUGGUACUCAAGACAUACAUCCAUUAAUCUAGUCGUGCUAAUCCUUACCACAAAAUAAAAACUAGCAUGUGUCGUGUGUUUGUGACCCUAAACAAUCACAAAUGAAUAACUUAUCAACUUCAAAAUUUAGCCGGUGAAAUCUCAUAAAAGAGAGAUAAGUAAAAUAGAGGUAGCGCAUGCAGAGAGGGCAGGCCAGCACGUGCAUGCAAAGGUGAUUAGAAUAAAAAAAAAAAGAGGAAGUUAAUGCGUGGGAAGGAAGUCCAUAGUCACGCUAAUCACGCAUGCGGAUUGGAAGGAUUGGAGGGAGCUUCGUUAGAAAUGAUUGUACAUAUGAGAAAUUAGAAUCCAUGUAUGUUAAUAUUUCCUUUUUUAGUGUUAGGAAAGUUUUGUACGGCUCAUUGUCGUAGCUAAUCAGGAGUGUAGGCAACCUCAAGGAUAUAAAUAUGUGCACCCGAGGCUUGCAAGAUUUUAUCUCUCGAUUAAUCAAAACAAUUUUUCGGAUCCACACUGCCAAACUCUUAAGAGUAGGAGUAAUGUAGCUUUUCGACGAGUUUCUUCUUGCGCGCAGGGCUACAUCAGCUUCGAUAUCGGACGAACUUGUAAGUACCAUCACCCGAUCAUUACGCUAGUUAUCGAGUUAUCUUAGAUUGUAAAUAAAACUUUCUAGGUUUUAUCCAAUAUUCCAUUUGUCUUCGACGUUGCUCACAGUUAUUUAACUGCUUAAUUAAAUCUGCUUAGGUUCUUCUCAUCGGCUUCCUAGUCUUGUUUAAACGUUCACAAUUUAUCUGAUCGGAUCGGCUAGUUCGACCUUGCAUGCUGUUAUCGCUUUAUCUAUACUAGGUCCGAUAGAUCUUUACCCCUUCCCCUCGUAUUGCUAGCAGUUGGAUCCCUAACGUUAGAACGACACUGUUGAGAGCCGAUGCAUCGAUUGAGUAUCAUCCAUAUCUCUAUAAUGUAUCGUGGUUAAUGGCAAUUUAAUGAAAUUAUAAAGGAUAACAACGAUCGUGCUUUCGGCGUUCCAAAAAUCAAUCAAGAAUUCAUCAUGGUUGUGCAGUGUAUGGAAACCUUAUGGGAAUAGUUAGAUGGGAAAUGCUGUAUUAUGUAAUAAUAAAUCCAGGUACAUCACAAAUCAGGAUGGAUGGAUGUCUAAUACUGUUGAAAGAGAUUGGAAUAAAGCAGACUCAUCUCAGACUAUGCACCAUGUCUGAGUGACCCACCUCACCUUGCCAGGUCACUGGUCUUGCCCUCGUGGUUCACCCGCAUCAAGCCAGCACGCAAGCUAUGAUGUUGCCACCAGUGGUCAGUACACAAAUCUAGCUACCAGUCGGAUCCAAGGGCAGGCAUGCAUUUGUAUUGUGGUUGUGCUUGAACAUGGAGAUGUCUUGUGAUUGUCAGGCACCAUCCAUCCUCUCUCAGUUUCACUCCUCACACACGGAUAGCACACACCAGGGACACGACACCAUGCAUGCCGAUUUCAUAUUGUUAAUAUUUAUUUUUUUAAUGGUUGUUGAAACUAUAUAGUUAGUCCAAUCUCACGUUUCCGAUUAUAAAAAUUAACAUAAAGAGAUCGGAAGGAAGAGCCGGCAUAAUGAAGCCAACACAUAUAAUAAGCACCAGAGCCGGCAUUUAUACAAACCGGUACGGAUAGUAAAAACCAGAAUUUAUAAAUAAAAAAAUAAUUUGCAUAUCUAGAGAGAUAUCUCAUCAAAUCGGUGAGUUAUAUCCGGUUAAUUUAAACGAGGAUAAAAAUAAGUGUAUUUUCCACUCAUUAUGUUGGCUUUUCGUAGCUGUACCGCCUUUAGUGUGCUGUAUUCCCCUAACACCAAGUCUCCGAGGUCCGAGAAAAUAAGGAAAGUGAUAGCAGCCCAGGUAUCGACCAAGUUUCUUUCCCACUUUGGCUUUCCUACUAUGAUUCGAAAUCCUCUUUCGCAUGACAAUCUUAAUUAUCUCCCACAGUCCAAAGCUCAAAAAACAUCAAAAAUCCGCCGAGAAUAAAUUAAGUAAAAAACAUGCACACAUAGAUAAUAAUAAUAAUCAUGUUUCAUUAAAAUUGCUAAGGCUAGAGACAAUACAUAAACAUAUUAGACUGCUCGUGACACAUAUCACGGUGGUGUCUGUGUCCUUAUUACAAGCAGCGAGAGGAAUUAAAUAUGCUUGUCACCACACACACGCGCACACAUAUGCACAGCAUACAUAUAGUUGAGACCAACAGAUGGAUUAACUAGAGGUCACCCCAUAUGGUGAACAAUUUAUUGGAGAUAAACAUUAACAUAACUUGGCCAUAGCUUGAAGCAUAGUAACAUAUGCCUAUGAAUGGCAUUCAUGCUAUGUUUUAGGCUUGUCCUUAGCAUCUUCCAUUUAGCAAGCACUGCCGUUUCUUCCAUCUUAGCAGCAACUGUCAGAUUGAGAUAUGGAAAUCCCAUUAGCGCAUGAGUUAAUUUUGCAGUGGAAAUAGAGUACAAGAUGUCUUCAUGAUGUAAGUAAUAUGCCUGAUGUUGUGAGAUGGGAAGUGAAGUCAAUAAAUUACAUUAACCAAAAUGCAUGGAAGGCCACACAUACGUAUUAGUCCACGAUAUGCUACAAAGCUUGUAUGUACAUAUACAAAUUAAAUGUAUUGAAUA
rnacentral:lncRNA from 1 species